rnacentral:rRNA from 1 species
UACGGGGGGAGCAAGCGUUGUUCGGAUUUACUGGGCGUAAAGGGCGCAGUAGGCGGUCGUGACAAGUCACUUGUGAAAUCUCCGGGCUUAACUCGGAACGGAUCAAGUGAUACUGUCGGACUAGAGUACAGAAGGGGCAACUGGAAUUCUCGGGUGUAGCGGUGAAAUGCGUAGAUAUCGAGAGGAACACCUGCGGCGAAGGCGGGUUGCUGGGCUGAUACUGACGCUGAGGCGCGAGAGCCAGGGAGGCGAACGGG